CAGUCGCCACGGGAAUACGGAGGGAGCUAGCGUUGUUCGGAAUUACUGGGCGUAAAGCGCGCGUAGGCGGUUACUCAAGUCAGAGGUGAAAGCCCGGGGCUCAACCCCGGAACUGCCUUUGAAACUAGGUGACUAGAAUCUUGGAGAGGUCAGUGGAAUUCCGAGUGUAGAGGUGAAAUUCGUAGAUAUCCGGAAGAACACCAGUGGCGAAGGCGACUGACUGGACAAGUAUUGACGCUGAGGUGCGAAAGCGUGGGGAGCAAACAGGAUUAGAUACCCCUGUAGUCCCUGUCUCUUAUAC
rnacentral:rRNA from 1 species